rnacentral:rRNA from 1 species
AACCAGGAGACAGGUGCUGCAUGGCUGUCGUCAGCUCGUGUCGUGAGAUGUUGGGUUAAGUCCCGCAACGAGCCGCAACCCUUUAUCCCUAGUUGCCAUCAGGUAAAGCUGGGAACUCUGGGAGACUGCCGGUGAUAAACCGGAGGAAGGCGGGGAUGACGUCAAGUCCUCAUGGCCCUUACAUCCCGGGCUACACACGUGCUACAAUGGCAGGUACAGAGGGCUGCGAAGCCGCGAGGUGGAGCGAAUCCCAGAAAACCUGUCUCAGUCCGGAUUGAAGUCUGCAACUCGACUUCAUGAAGGCGGAAUCGCUAGUAACCGCGAAUCAGCAGGUCGCGGUGAAUACGUUCCCGGGCCUU